rnacentral:rRNA from 1 species
UGGAGCUAUUGGCUUUGAAUUGUAUUGUGGAAAUGUAUUACCAACAGAGGUGCAGGUGCCAGCCUAUUGAAAUAAAGCGUCAAUGAGGGUGAGAAUCCUGUUUGUCAUGUGCAGCCCUUUGUGCACGGUGUAUAUUUGCUGAGUCACACUCCUUGGCAUUGGAAUGCAAAGUGGGUGGUAAGUUUCAUGUAAAGGUAAACAUGCAAUUGAGACUGAUAGCACACAAGUACCAUGAGGGAAAUAUGAAAAGGACUUUGAAAAGAGAAUUAAAUGAGUUUGUAUUUGCUGAACACAAAGUAAACAGACUUGAUUUGCUUGGUGGGAGUGUUGCACUUGCUUGACAAGAGCUUUGGGCUGUGGGUGUAAUGAUUCUUUCUUUGCAUGCCAGUUUCUAUUUGUACAUCUGAUUACCUUUGCACAUGAAUGAUAAGUCUCCUGUGGGGGGUGGAUUGCAUGUGCAUGUAAUGAUUUGUGUUUUGAUAAAUGUGUCUGGUGUAUGUGUGUGUUCCUGUGCUUGGGGAUGCUUCCUUCCUUGGACUUACAAGCCCUGACACACACAUGCUGGCAAAAUGCUUCUGCUUGACCCGUCUUGAAACACGGACCAAGGAGUCUAACAGAUGUGCAAAGUUUGAAGGUGGUAUACCUUUGUGUGCAAUGAAAGUGUCAGCUGGGAUAUGUGCACCAGCACCCAAUUAAUUAGCGGACAGAGGUUUGAGUUGGAGCAUAUCUAUUAGGACCCGAAAGAUGGUGAACUAUGCCUGAACAGAAUGAAUUCAGAGGAAACUCUGAUGGAGGUUCGUAUCGAUACUGACGUGCAAAUCGUUCGUCAUAUUUGGGUAUAGGGGCGAAAGACUAAUCGAACCAUCUAGUAGCUGGUUCCCUCCGAAGUUUCCCUCAGGAUAGCUGGAGUUGCUCAGUUUUAUCAGGUAAAGCGAAUGAUUAGAGGAAUUGGGGACAGGUUUGUCUUUGACCUAUUCUCAAACUUUAAAUGGGUAAUAUGUAGUGGUUGCUGUAUGGAACUUCUAAGAUAAAUGGCAAUAUUGGGUGGGCCAUUUUUGGUAAGCAGAACUGGCGAUGAGGGAUGAACCUA